AGCCGUUUUCGAUUAUGAAAAUUUUGAAUCGACGAUCGGCUCCGUUAGACUUGAUCUAGCGCAUUUGAAGUUUCUAGAAAAUAAUUUUUACGAUUUUUUGAUAUCAUUUACCUAGUGAUCGAAAGGAUUCAAAAUUCAUAAUUUUUAAUGGUUGAUAUCUGCUGUUUUCAAGUUUAACGGUGUAGAAGUAUUCAAAUCAGAUGAAAUUUUGAUACAAAAUUUUUUAUACUAUCUAUAACAAGAUCAAUAUUUCUGAUCGAAAAUUUUAGUGCUAUAUCACCACUUUUUAUAGGAUUUUUAUUUUCAACCGUUAAAAAUUAUUGAUUUUAAAUUAUUUCGAUUGCUAGGUAAAUGAUAUCGAAAAAUUGCAAAAAUUAUUUUUUAGAAACUUCAAAUACGCUAGAUCAAGUUUAACGGAGUCGAUAUUUCUGAUCGAAAAUUUUAGUUUUAUAUCACCACUUUUUAUAGGAUUUCUAUUUUCAACCGUUAAAAAUUAUUGAUUUUGAAUCAUUUCGAUUGCUAGGUAAAUGAUAUCGAAAAAUUGCAAAAAUUAUUUUCUAGAAACUUCAAAUACGCUAGAUCAAGUUUAACGGAGUCGAUAUUUCUGAUCGAAAAUUUUAGUUUUAUAUCACCACUUUUUAUAGGAUUUCUAUUUUCAGCCGUUAAAAAUUAUUGAUUUUAAAUUAUUUCGAUUGCUAGGUAAAUGAUAUCGAAAAAUUGCAAAAAUUAUUUUUUAGAAACUUCAAAUACGCUAGAUCAAGUUUAACGGAGUCGAUCGUUGAUUCGGAAACACCAUCAUCGAAAACGGCUCAGGAGCACGGAGGCCUCCAUGCUCCUAAGAGAACAGUAGCCCUGCUCAU
rnacentral:lncRNA from 1 species